GAAGGUGAGCAAAUCCCAAAAAUAACGUCCCAGUUCGGAUUGUAGUCUGCAACCCGACUACAUGAAGCUGGAAUCGCUAGUAAUCGCGGAUCAGAAUGCCGCGGUGAAUACGUUCCCGGGUCUUGUACACACCGCCCGUCACACCAUGGGAGUCGGAAAUGCCCGAAGUCUGUGACCUAACCGUAAGGAAGGAGCAGCCGAAGGCAGGUCGGAUGACUGGGGUGAAGUCGUAACAAGGUAAC
rnacentral:rRNA from 1 species